AUACGGAGGGGGCAAGCGUUAUUCGGAAUUAUUGGGCGUAAAGGGCGCGUAGGCGGCCUGACAAGUCAAAGGUGAAAUCCCUCGGCCUAACCGAGGAACUGCCUUUGAAACUGCCAGGCUUGAGGCCGGGAGAGGGUAGUGGAAUUCCCAGUGUAGCGGUGAAAUGCGUAGAUAUUGGGAAGAACACCAGUGGCGAAGGCGGCUAUCUGGACCGGUACUGACGCUGAGGUGCGAAAGCGUGGGGAGCAAACAGGAUUAGAAACCCCGGUAGUCC
rnacentral:rRNA from 1 species